rnacentral:tRNA from 1 species
GAGGGGAUAGCUCAGUGGUAGAGUGUCUUCCUAGCAUGCUUGAGGUCCUGGGUUCGAUCCCCAGUACCUCCA